rnacentral:tRNA from 1 species
UUUUUGAUGGCAGAUAAAUGCGAAGGUUUUAAGCACCUUAUAUGAUAUAUAUUUUUAUUUAUAUCU